AGUGAACGCUGGCGGUAUGCCUAACACAUGCAAGUCGAACGGCAGCACAGUAAGCUCUUUCUCUUACGGUUGGCUAGUGACGGACGGGUGAGGCGUACAUCGGAAUCUACUUUUUCGUGGGGGAUAACUUAGGGCAACUUACGCUACUACCUCAUACUACCUACGGGUUAACGCAUGUUAUCUUCGGACCUUGCCCGCUCUACUGAGCCGAUGUCGGAUUAGCUAGUUGGCGGGGUAAAGGACCACCAAGGCGACGAUCCGUAGCUGGUCUGAGAGGGUGAUCAGCCACACUGGAACUGAGACACGGUCCAGACUCCUACGGGAGGCAGCAGUAGGGAAUAUUGGACAAUGGGCGCAAGCCUGAUCGAGCCAUACCGCGUGAGUGAAGAAGGCCUUCGGGUUGUAAAGCCCUUUUGUUGGGAAAGAAAAGCAGCAGGUGAAGAACCCGCUGUUCUGAAGGUACCCAAAGAAGAAGCACAGGCUAAAUUAGUG
rnacentral:rRNA from 1 species